GUACUCGCUUUGGCAGCACAUACACUAAACUCAGGACCAUCCGGCAACGAUUAGCAUGGCCCCGGAGAAAGGAUGACAUACAAAUUCUUGAAGCAGUCCUUUUUAUU